UUUAGUUAUAAAGGGAGCUCAUAAUGUUGGGCUGAGAGUAAGCUAACAGGCUUUGACCUAUAACCAGAUUUGGAUAAUGCCAACGUUGGGAAAUAUUCGUGAAACGUA
rnacentral:ncRNA from 2 species